rnacentral:lncRNA from 1 species
AUCCUGGAGGUCAGUAAACGUCUGAUUCAGAUGAAAGCCAAUGGCACAAAGUUGCUUCACUUUGGCCUCUUGGAUCUCUUUUUGGCGUUCUAGUCUUGUUGAGUCAUCAGUGAGUGCUUGAUCAUGAUGCAAGGAGGGAGAAGGUUAGAUUGGAUGGUGGAUAACCUCCAUAAUACUUUUUCAAUCAUCUCCGAUAAGGAUGCCUCUUAUCAUCAUUUUUGUUUAUACUUUACUGAGUCGGAUAUCUACUAGCCAACAUGGUUGAUCAAGACCAUUGACUUGAUCAUCGAUACCCCUAAACUCUCGAGGGAGACAAUCGAGGGGUUGAUGCUUCUAGAAGAUGAGAAGUAUCUCCGAGUAAUGAUAGUGGGGAAGCUUGUCAGCUUCGAUUAUAUCGCGAUGGUUGAGAUAAGCAUCCAGGUUCUAAGGUCUUCAUUUAUUACAUCUGAUUCUUCUUGUUAUCUUGACUUAUCUCUUUGAUUAUAGUACACCAUGCCAUCUGGCCAUUAGAGCUAUCCUUUUGGUCUACUUAUAAAGGAUAGUGGCAGCAGUGCAUGAGGUUUGUAAGGUCGAGUGGGGAAGGGCUUUAGUGGAGUCAGAGCUAGCGAUAGCUCAAGACACAAAGGAACAAACUGAGGAGCAAGCUUAUCUUUCUCAAAAAAAAAGCACCAUACUUCAAAGCUGAGCUCUUCAAGGCAUGGAGGAGGCUCAAGGAGGUGAGGAAGGAAUUGAAGGAUAUGGCAGCUCAACUCGAGGAGGAGAUUACUUAGCUUGAGGAGGCAAUGGUGGAGGUGGAGAGCAUAUUUUCUCGAGUCCAAGAGAAAUUCACCUAGAUCAAGAGCUAGGCAAUUUGAGCUAGAAGCGGCUUGUCGAGGUUGAAGAGAGGGCCAUUUGAGCUAAGGAGUGGACAAUCAUGGUCCAAAAAAAGGCUUGGUAGGAAGU